rnacentral:lncRNA from 1 species
UUUUUAAAUUUCAUUGAUUAUUGAUUAGCUUAGCUAGCAUACAGGGUCCCCACAACAAUGCCUCAAAUGAUCAAUAAUGAAUGAUUUAUGGCAUUUAUCGCGGUUGAAUUAUACAACGGAUUACGGGUGUUUAAAGUAAUAACAUAAUUUAUAACCAAAUACCUUGCGAAAAUUGUUUUAGGCCAGCGAUGAGCUAAAUAAUAGGGGCAAACCAAAGCAACAAUACAAACUGAAAUUCUUCGAUCGAUAGAAUUGCAUUAAUUGCAAUUAAUAACCUGAUCGAUAACUUGAUCAGAAUCGAACAAUUUAAUUUCGAAUAACAAUCGUCCAACACUAGACUUUCAAGGUAUUGCGGAUAUUUCAACACUCGAGCCAUCCAACAACCCGUUCAGUUGGCGCAACAGCAGCCAUUAUUAAAUAAUUGUUUUAUUUAUUAAGCGACAUCAAUAAUUCCAACAGAGAGCAAAAGUAAAUGGAAUUUAAUCUAAGCUGUUCGUUGGUGCCAGUCGAGCCAUUCAGCACAACGCGACGGUACGUCCAUCCACGUAAUUUGAUAAUACGUACCAAUUUCAAACAAACAACAACUCCUCACACAAGACAAAUUAAUUUUAAUCAGUUUGACGAAAAGAGAGAUUCGUCGUCCAUAAGUUAUUCAGCCUUCCAUCGAGCUGGCUGUUGCCCACAAUCUACGCCCAAUUUUUUUCGUUUUAAGUGUUCGAUGGCUCCAGUAAUGGAACGUGGUCGAUUCGAGCAUAUCAGUGUGAAAGUGAACGAGAACGAUCUGGAAACCGGAGCUGUGAAGAUUUUGAGAAUUAUCCGACCUGAGUGGCAAGUGGCCAACAUCAGAUUCAAGCUGUUAACAGAUGGAAUUACCAACAAACUCAUAGGCUGUCUUCCAGACGAUGCUCCAGAACAAGAGACUGUGCUGGUGCGAGUUUAUGGCAAUAAAACCGAUUUACUCAUUGAUCGAAAGGCGGAAACCAG